rnacentral:pre_miRNA from 1 species
CCUGAUUGGCUGCCUUCCUUCGGCAGUGUAGUUAGCUGGUUGUUUUCGACCAAUCACCAACCAGCUUGCUGCAGGGCCCCAGGAAGGAGUCUUGAAAUCUU